UACGAAGGGGGGCUAGCGUUGCUCGGAAUUACUGGGCGUAAAGCGCACGUAGGCGGAUUGUUAAGUCGGGGGUGAAAUCCUGGAGCUCAACUCCAGAACUGCCUUCGAUACUGGCGAUCUCGAGUUCGGGAGAGGUGAGUGGAACUGCGAGUGUAGAGGUGAAAUUCGUAGAUAUUCGCAAGAACACCAGUGGCGAAGGCGGCUCACUGGCCCGAUACUGACGCUGAGGUGCGAAAGCGUGGGGAGCAACAGGG
rnacentral:rRNA from 1 species